UACGAAGGGGGCUAGCGUUGUUCGGAUUUACUGGGCGUAAAGCGCACGUAGGCGGAUUGUUAAGUCAGGGGUGAAAUCCCGGAGCUCAACUCCGGAACUGCCUUUGAUACUGGCAAUCUUGAGACUGGAAGAGGUUAGUGGAAUUCCCAGUGUAGAGGUGAAAUUCGUAGAUAUUGGGAAGAACACCAGUGGCGAAGGCGGCCAUCUGGGAGGCGACUGACGCUGAGACGCGAAAGCGUGGGGAGCAAACAGG
rnacentral:rRNA from 1 species